AAGUCGUAACAAGGUUUCCGUAGGUGAACCUGCGGAAGGAUCAUUAACACGUAUCCAACGUUAAACCCCCCGUGAACUUUUAUUGCGAACCACGCCUUUGUUAGAAAGUAGCAAUCCCUGGUAAAUCAUCGCCAAACAGUUUUGAUUCAGGGAUCUCUGCGAAGAGAGCGGUUGUAGCGCGAGGUAAGUGGCCUGGCAUUCCUCUGCUUGUUAGUGUCUGACAGUGUCACUAGCUCUGUACGAAUGGCGCAGUCACGAUCGCUAGAGGCCGACACGGCCGGCGACCGGGUCACCGGGCAUAGACCCCCCUAUCACCUUUGCAUGAAAACGGGCCUGCGCUUAAUUGUGCGGCCACCAAACUCGAACAACUGUUAACAAUGGAUAUCUUGGUUCUC
rnacentral:misc_RNA from 1 species